rnacentral:tRNA from 1 species
GCCCUUGUAGCUCAGUGGUAGAGCGGCUGCCUCGUAAGCAGCAGGUCCAGGGUUCAAGUCCCUGCAAGGGCU